rnacentral:rRNA from 1 species
GACGAACGCUGGCGGCGUGCUUAACACAUGCAAGUCGAACGGAAAGGCCCUGCUUUUGUGGGGUGCUCGAGUGGCGAACGGGUGAGUAACACGUGAGUAACCUGCCCUUGACUUUGGGAUAACUUCAGGAGACUGGGGCUAAUACCGGAUAGGAGCUCCUGCUGCAUGGUGGGGGUUGGAAAGUUUCGGCGGUAGGGGAUGGACUCGCGGCUUAUCAGCUUGUUGGUGGGGUAGUGGCUUACCCAGGCUUUGGCGGGUAGGCGGCCUGAGAGGGUGACCGGCGACAUGGGGACUGAGGGACGGCCCAGACUGCUACGGGAGGCAGCAGUGGGGAAUAUUGCACAAUGGGAGGAAGCCGGAGGCAGAAACGCCGCGGGCGGGAUGACGGCCUGCGGGUUGUAAACCGCUUUCGCCUGUGACGAAGCGUGAGUGACGGUAAUGGGUAAAGAAGCACCGGCUAACUACGUG